rnacentral:rRNA from 1 species
ACACAUGCAAGUCGAGGGGCAGCGAGAUUGAAGCUUGCUUCAAUUGUCGGCGACCGGCGGACGGGUGCGUAACGCGUAUGCAACCUACCCAUAACAGGGGGAUAACACUGAGAAAUUGGUACUAAUACCCCAUAACAUCUCGAGUGGCAUCACUUGGGGUUGAAAGCUUCGGUGGUUAUGGAUGGGCAUGCGUUGUAUUAGCUAGUUGGUGAGGUAACGGCUCACCAAGGCGACGAUACAUAGGGGGACUGAGAGGUUAACCCCCCACAUUGGUGCUGAGACACGGACCAAACUCCUACGGGAGGCAGCAGUGAGGAAUAUUGGUCAAUGGACGGAAGUCUGAACCAGCCAUGCCGCGUGCAGGAUGACGGCUCUAUGAGUUGUAAACUGCUUUUGUACGAGGGUAAACCCGAAUACGUGUAUUCGGCUGAAAGUAUCGUACGAAUAAGGAUCGGCUAACUCCGUGCCAGCAGCCGCGGUAAUACGGAGGAUCCAAGCGUUAUCCGGAUUUAUUGGGUUUAAAGGGUGCGUAGGCGGUCAGAUAAGUUAGAGGUGAAAUUCCGGUGCUUAACACCGGCGCUGCCUCUAAUACUGUUUGACUAGAGAGUAGUUGCGGUAGGCGGAAUGUAUGGUGUAGCGGUGAAAUGCUUAGAGAUCAUACAGAACACCGAUUGCGAAGGCAGCUUACCAAGCUAUAUCUGACGUUGAGGCACGAAAGCGUGGGGAGCAAACAGGAUUAGAUACCCUGGUAGUCCACGCAGUAAACGAUGAUAACUCGUUGUCGGCGAUACAAUGUCGGUGACUAAGCGAAAGCGAUAAGUUAUCCACCUGGGGAGUACGUUCGCAAGAAUGAAACUCAAAGG